rnacentral:rRNA from 1 species
GAUGAACGCUGGCGGCGUGCCUAAUACAUGCAAGUCGAGCGAACAGACGAGGAGCUUGCUCCUCUGACGUUAGCGGCGGACGGGUGAGUAACACGUGGAUAACCUACCUAUAAGACUGGGAUAACUUCGGGAAACCGGAGCUAAUACCGGAUAAUAUAUUGAACCGCAUGGUUCAAUAGUGAAAGACGGUUUUGCUGUCACUUAUAGAUGGAUCCGCGCCGCAUUAGCUAGUUGGUAAGGUAACGGCUUACCAAGGCAACGAUGCGUAGCCGACCUGAGAGGGUGAUCCGCCACACUGGAACUGAGACACGGUCCAGACUCCUACGGGAGGCAGCAGUAGGGAAUCUUCCGCAAUGGGCGAAAGCCUGACGGAGCAACGGCGCGUGAGUGAUGGAGGUCUUCGGAUCGUAAAACUCUGUUAUUAGGGAAGAACAAAUGUGUAAGUAACUAUGCACGUCUUGACGGUACCUAAUCAGAAAGCCACGGCUAACUACGUG